rnacentral:rRNA from 1 species
AUUUACGGAGAGUUUGAUCCUGGCUCAGGACGAACGCUGGCGGCGUGCUUAAUACAUGCAAGUCGAACGGAG